UGUGCUUAUUAUCGGGUGUGUUAUGGCACGAUNCCGGAGAGGGAGCCUGAGAAACGGCUACCACAUCCAGGAUGGCAGCAGGCGCGCAAAUUACCCAAUCCCGACACGGGGAGGUAGUGACAAUAAAUAACAAUACGGGGUUCUUUMGGAUCUCGUAAUUGGAAUGAGUACAAUUUAAAUCUCUUAACGAGGAACAAUUGGAGGGCAAGUCUGGUGCCAGCAGCCGCGGUAAUUCCAGCUCCAAUAGCGUAUAUUAAAGUUGUUGCAGUUAAAAAGCUCGUAGUUGAAUUUCGGGGUUAGUAGGUUGGUCGUGCCACCGGUAUGUACUGGUCUUACUGAUUCCUCCUUCCUGAAGAACCGUAAUGCCAUUAAUUUGGUGUUGCGGGGAAACAGGACUGUUACUUUGAAAAAAUUAGAGUGUUUAAAGCAGGCUAACGCUUGAAUACAUUAGCAUGGAAUAAUGAAAUAGGACGAUCGAUCCUAUUUUGUUGGUUUCUAGGAUUGACGUAAUGAUUAAUAGGGAUAGUUGGGGGCAUUAGUAUUCAAUUGUCAGAGGUGAAAUUCUUGGAUUUAUUGAAGACUAACUACUGCGAAAGCAUUUGCCAAGGAUGUUUUCAUUAAUCAAGAACGAAAGUUAGGGGAUCGAAGACGAUCAGAUACCGUCGUAGUCUUAACCAUAAACUAUGCCGACUAGGGAUCGGAUGAUGUUAAUUUUAUAAUGACUCAUUCGGCGCCUUACGGGAAACCAAUGUUUGNGGGGUUACAA
rnacentral:rRNA from 1 species